rnacentral:rRNA from 1 species
UACGUAGGUGGCGAGCGUUGUCCGGAUUUACUGGGCGUAAAGGGAGCGUAGGCGGAUUUUUAAGUGGGAUGUGAAAUACUCGGGCUCAACUUGAGUGCUGCAUUUCAAACUGGAAGUCUAGAGUGCAGGAGAGGAGAAUGGAAUUCCUAGUGUAGCGGUGAAAUGCGUAGAGAUUAGGAAGAACACCAGUGGCGAAGGCGAUUCUCUGGACUGUAACUGACGCUGAGGCUCGAAAGCGUGGGGAGCAAACAGG